GCACUGGGAAAACUGGAGAGGCUUGAGCAACUGAUCUGACUUUGUAACUGGGCCCUUAUUGGUGCGAUGAUUAGGAUAGACUCAGGUUCCCCAUAGGACCAUCAGCUCCAGGAGGGUGGGACUGUCUAAUUCAGCUUGUAUUUCUGUCCCGGAAUCUAGCACAGAUGGGGAAUGCAGUCCAUCCACCAUGACGACUAGUGUGCCUCCAAAUCAGGAGCUGGAACCCAUGGGGACCCAACUCGACCUUGUCCAGCCUGGUGUUGGAGUGUGGAAGGGCACAGCGCAGGGACUUGCGGAUUGAGGGCUGGGAGUCACUGUGGGGCCUCUCUGAGAGUGACUCACAGAGGGCCGCAGCCCCUCCUCUUGACACCUCUUCAUCUGCACCAGGAGGUUUUUUUCCCUGGAGCCCUCAAAUGCUUGAAGAAGGAUGGGUGUGGUGCAGGACUGCACUUGCCAAGCCAGCUCCUCAGGUCCUGUAAAAGGUGCUGCAGAGGGCCUC
rnacentral:lncRNA from 1 species